AUGAAUAGUAGACCCAUCUAUGCCUACAACAAUACCAACUCUCUCACCACACACUCUUUUACAAGACACACUCACGUCCAUAGCACCCCUAAACUCAAAACUUUCAGAACUAGUGCUAUUCAUACUGAACACCAGAUUAUCUUGGUCAUCAUGAGAGCGUUUCUUGCUUCCCCGGUGCUCUCUAGCAUAGCAGCAAAAGCCAUCUUGCGAUUGAAGAGUUCGCUUCUGCUGUUUGGCGGAGUGGGGAUACCAAAAACCGCAUGUUUAACACAUGCAGCCUGCACCAUGUCCUUCUCGUCAUGUUCUUCCCGAUGA
rnacentral:rRNA from 1 species